rnacentral:tRNA from 1 species
CAUCAGAUGACUGAAAAGUAAGUAAUGAUCUCUUAAAUCAUAUAAUAGUAAUUAACAACUACUUCUGAUGA